rnacentral:rRNA from 1 species
UACGUAGGGUCCGAGCGUUGUCCGGAAUUAUUGGGCGUAAAGAGCUCGUAGGCGGCUUGUCGCGUCGACUGUGAAAUCCCGCGGCUCAACUGCGGGUCUGCAGUCGAUACGGGCAGGCUAGAGUUCGGUAGGGGAGACUGGAAUUCCUGGUGUAGCGGUGAAAUGCGCAGAUAUCAGGAGGAACACCGAUGGCGAAGGCAGCCUUCUGGGCCAACACUGACGCUCAUGCACGAAAGCGUGGGGAGCAAACAGG